AUUGAACGCUGGCGGCAGGCCUAACACAUGCCAGUCGAGCGGUAGAGAGAAGCUUGCUUCUCUUGAGAGCGGCGGACGGGUGAGUAAUGCCUAGGAAUCUGCCUGGUAGUGGGGGAUAACGUUCGGAAACGGACGCUAAUACCGCAUACGUCCUACGGGAGAAAGCAGGGGACCUUCGGGCCUUGCGCUAUCAGAUGAGCCUAGGUCGGAUUAGCUAGUUGGUGGGGUAAUGGCUCACCAAGGCGACGAUCCGUAACUGGUCUGAGAGGAUGAUCAGUCACACUGGAACUGAGACACGGUCCAGACUCCUACGGGAGGCAGCAGUGGGGAAUAUUGGACAAUGGGCGAAAGCCUGAUCCAGCCAUGCCGCGUGUGUGAAGAAGGUCUUCGGAUUGUAAAGCACUUUAAGUUGGGAGGAAGGGCAGUAAAUUAAUACUUUGCUGUUUUGACGUUACCGACAGAAUAAGCACCGGCUAACUCUGU
rnacentral:rRNA from 1 species